GUGAUUUUUCUUUGCAUGGUAGCGUCCUCUAUAGACGAUCUCCUAGAUUCUACUGUGCUCAAGAGAUGCCGCUUUAAAGAAAAAUGUAAUUACCAUUUAAAACGUUCAAAAACUACAGAUUAAAUAAUUAAAAAUCAGUUAAAUGAGGUAUUUGAAUGCCAACUCCCAAAGGCAAAAGUGUCAAUACAAAAAUUACAAACUCGUGGAUUUUUGUGAUUUAGGUCAAAAUGUCUAAACGAUGUGUGUUUGGUUGAUCACUUAGUGAUGCCAGCCUUCAUUAAUUUCCAAACCCUAAAAGAUUCCGUCAGCAAUUGAAUUAUUGGUUUAAACUCACUGGUGAUUUUCGAUUGACUAAUGAAGAGAUUUUCAAAAAGAAAAAAGUUUGUGAUGUUCAUUUCACAGACAGAGAUCAUAAUCGUAAUAACCAAUUAAAUGCUUUAGCCAUUCCAUUUCUUCAUUUGAAUGGCUCUCGUGGAAAACUUCCUUACCCUAGUGAAAUGGUCAGUCAGGAAAUGGAACCAAUUGGACGUAGGCAAUUAAAAUAAUUUGGUUUUUAAGGGACUUCAAAAAAAGAGAUUUAUAAUUUGCCUGUAUUUCUUUUUGUGUGUAUGUUACUGGAUUUCUCUAUCAAUCAGCAAUAACAAUUAAUUUCAUAGUUUCUGUAUUGACAUUGGUUCUUCUUUCUUAACUUCAGGUUGUUCUGAACAUAAUAUUCUUAAUCCUCUUACGGUUUUGUAUAAGAAGUGGAGCGCUGCAAGGAUUAUAUUGCACAAACUCACACAUAACACUUUAUUUUUAUUAAAAUAAUUAAUCGAGACAUCUUUUACUUUUAUUUUUUAUAUACAUGUGUGUUUACUAUGACAUCAUGGAACAUUACGAUCUAGCCUAACUUAAGACUAAUAAGUAAUUUAAGUCUAACCUAAUUUACUAAAAAGGAUUGUUAUCAAAAGUAAGUGUCCAAUGACGCUACUUAUAGUCUCUAUUAAAGGGAUGUCAUCAUCAGCUGUGUGUGUGUCAUCAUCAAAAAGCACUCCAGCAUUUAAAGUGUCAAAUUUAAAGCUAAAAAAAGAAGGAAAAAAAAUAUUUGUGGUUGAAUUGGUUGUACCAUCAAUAAAAAAAAUCAUUAAAACGAUAUGCAAGAGCUAUGGAAUUUUAUUUUGCCAAAAAUAUUCGUUUUGAUUUCAUGCUUACGAGAACUUUCAACCAGGAUCCAGUCAAAAAUUGCUUCGGGAACAUCAGGACCUUUGAGGCGAGGAAUAUUUCUCCUAAUAGAGUCAAUUUUGAAGGAGCAUUCAAAACCUUGUUGCUUAGUAAUUAUAACACGCCCCAAUUAGUGCAAUCUAAUUGUGAAGAAGAUAAAAACGAUUGCCUGCAAACCUUAGACUGUUUUUAAAGAAAAUCAACUGAUAGAAGCUGAGGUUCCCGAAGAAAGUAAAAUUCCAUUUAGGGAGGAAUUCAUACACAACGCCAGUGAAGGUCAAUGUGAUUUAGGACAGGGGGCAUACGUUUGCGGCUGGGUUUAUAAUUUAUCAUUAAAAGUUGCAAAACAUGCAAUAAAGAUGUGUUAGGGCAUCAAAAUGAAACAAACAUACGAUCAAAAUAAUAUUUUAAAAAUAAGAAGAGGUUAAAUUAUCCAUCGCUCGAGUUGUUGUAGAGACCAAUGUUUUAAGGAAAUACAAAGUUUAAAAAUUUAAAAAAAAUGCUCCAAAGUGUGCUGGAAAAGGAACGUUAAAAAAGUACACUGACAUAUUUGUGUCAUAUCCCUUCAAAGGUGUAACACAUAAAGAGCUCUCAAAUUUUUUUUUGGAGAAAUGACACUGAAUGUCUUAAUAAACAGUUGGUGCAAGUCAAUCAACCAAAAAAAUGUGUAAAAUUGACCUACUCUGGUGAUAAUGAAAUGAAAUCAUUCGCCCAAGAAUAUUUCAACAAACACAAAGAUUUUAAGAAAUAAAUAUUUAGUUUUUGUUAA